ACGUCGGUCCAACCCGUUCAGCGCCGCGGCCGCCAAACAGUUCUCCAUGUCUCCCUGCGCAGGCACAGACACACAAACAUGGGCGGGGUUGGAUGGGAAUAAUGAUGGAACAUGACCUGUCAUCAGGGCCCUUGUGGAUCAAACACAGCCCAAGCCAGCCCGGCCGCAGCCCCGGGCGCGGAUGCCCGCCCGACGACCGCCCUCUCUACCGGAGCGGCUCCUCCUCCGGUCUGCGCGGCUCCAGGCAAGCCUCCAUCCGUGCGAGCGCCCAGCCUGGCUGGGGAGCGCAGAGGCUCUUGAGAAGAAGUGGGAGACUUAUACCAUUAAAAAAUGCCGUGGGCCUUCCUAGGAGAGCCUGGGAAGGAACUGAGGACAGCUGUGGGAAUGUACCCAGCAAGGCAAGGUAAGGAAAGCCGUGUGACUUUGAGUUCAUGUGGGAUAAUGUUAUACUUGGCUUCAUUAUUGCCAGCUCUCUGCUUUCAAAAAAGUGUCUGAAAAGCCUAGCUCUUGGGGGAUGGUAGGAGGGCAUGCUGUCAAGGAAGAACUGAGUCAGUGCAAGAGACCUGCUCCGUGUGGGUCAUUGCUUGAUACUUUCAUAAAUUCCGCUGAUUGUCUCAAAGAGGACGAAAUCAUGACUCGGAGAAAUCAAAGAACUUUCCCAAGAUCCCAAAUUUGAACCUAGGUUCAUUUGAUUCCAAAGCCCUUUCUACUACAUUGUGAUGCUUCCUUGUGCUGAAAUCUUGGAAGAUGAAUGAUAUUCUGGAUUGAAUUAGGGAACUCAUGAU